CAUCAUUCUCUAAGCUUUCUCACUCCAAAACACUCUCAAACUCCCCUUCAUUUUCAGAAAUCGUCCAGCCCUUCCUCAGCCUGGAGUAAGGCCGAUUUUACUCGAAAACUCAACCGUUUUCCGGCGACCGCCACCCAACCCGAACCAACUUUUACCAAACUUUAUAUCCCACAUGUUUUCGACUUCCUAAGUCCACUUCUGAGCUUAGUUUUUGCAUUUGAAGCCCACAGCCCUGCAUUCCAGAGUUGAGUAGAAUUGGGAUUCACGGGUGCAUCCCGGGCUUCCUCGAUGUUUUCUCCAUCCCACGACUAAAGCGAGUCAUCCCAUCACUUUCUAAGGGUUCCUCACAUCCCUCACUCUCCCCCGGGAUAAGGUGGUCGCGUGCCGAGAGUCAUUCAACCAUGCACCACCGCUGUUUCUCUCCUUUCUUCCUUCUCAGAUUUUUCCAGUUCUUACCGAUUUUCUUUCCAUCUUCCAAGAAAAUCUAGGCAUGUAAUUCCCACGAAACCAUAGCAAGCAUGAUCCUCAGUCAGUUAGGAGUCCAAUGUCAUCGAUCUUGCAGCAAAAUACCACUAGAAGCCUCUGAGAGAGUAAUUUCUUUUUAACCAGCCCAGUCGGGUCUGUUCAUUUUUUUACAUUCUUCACUUUUCUUGUAGAUCGGGUCGAUCCAAGUCACUUCUCGUAAAACGACCACAACAGACACCUCGAGAGGUCUCUUAGGAGUUGAGAGCCACCGACCUUGCAUCAAAAAACCACCGGGAGCCUCCUGCUUAGUCGUUUCUUGAUCAAGUGCGAGUCAGUCUCUUGGGAGUCCAAUGCAACCGACCCCGUGCGAAAAAGCCACUCUGAUCAACCGGUACAGCCCCAACAAGUCGGACUGCCAGUCAGGUCUGCCAGCCGACCCGACUUCACCAAUUCAGGUCUGUUCAUUCCAAGGGGCAGAACCGACUUCCCAAAGUCCUUUUUCUGACUUUCCUCGACUUUUCCGGCAUCCCGGGGUUAGGUAUAACCAUUCCCGACUUGGAGAAGUUAGGACUUUUACGUUUUAUUUGUAUUUGUAAGGCGAGAAGGCGGUCCAUGACCGAUUUGCAUGCAAAUUUAUGUUUUUAUGUGUUUUUACAUCGUAUUAUGCAUGUUUUCAUUGUAUAUUGUGCUAACAUGUCGGGAAAGGGCUUUAAUCGGAGUCGAGGAGACUCUGUUGGCUCGGGCGAGUCAAAGGAGCCUCUCGUCCUCACCCCAAGGGAAGUAGCCGAAAGCCCCUCUUCGCUUCCUCAGGCCAUACACGGCUUCUUUGUCCUGACUUAAGUCGUUUCCCAAGGUUUUAUAUUUUCCACUUUCAUGAGUCGAUGUCGUUUUAUCGAUUCCUCUAAAUAUCAAGUUUGUGCUUGUUUGUA